AGAUGUGGGUGAGAAUCCCACAGGCCGUAAACCCAAGGUUUCCAGGGGAAGGUUCGUCCGCCCUGGGUUAGUCGGGACCUAAGCUGAGGCCGAAAGGCGUAGGUGAUGGACAACAGGUUGAUAUUCCUGUACUACCGAUAACCGUUUGAGAGAUGGGAUGACACAGUAGGAUAAGCUAAGCACACUGUUGGUUAUGUGUGCCCAAGCAUUGAGGCAGUCAAAGUAGGUAAAUCCGCUUUGAUAAUGCUGGGAUGUGAUGGGGAGCGAAAUUUAGUAGCGAAGUAGCUGAUUUCACACUGUCAAGAAAAGUCUCUAUCGAGGUUAAAGGUACCCGUACCGCAAACCGACACAGGUGGGUGAGGAGAGUAUCCUAAGGCCAGCGAGAGAACUGUUGUUAAGGAACUCGGCAAAAUGACCCCGUAACUUAGGGAUAAGGGGUGCCACCAUCAGGUGGCCGCAGAGAAUAGGCCCAAGCGACUGUUUACCAAAAACAUAGGUUUCUGCUAAGUCGCAAGACGAUGUAUAGGAGCUGACGCCUGCCCGGUGCUGGAAGGUUAAGGGGAUCUGUUAGAGCAAUCGAAGCAGUGAACUUAAGCCCCAGUAAACGGCGGCCGUAACUAUAACGGUCCUAAGGUAGCGAAAUUCCUUGUCGGGUAAGUUCCGACCCGCACGAAAGGCGUAACGAUUUGGGCACUGUCUCAACAACAGACUCGGUGAAAUUGUAAUUCCGGUGAAGAUGCCGGAUACCUGCGACAGGACGGAAAGACCCCAUGGAGCUUUACUGUAGCUUGACAUUGGGUCUUGGUACUACAUGUACAGGAUAGGUGGGAGGCUUUGAAACCAGGACGCCAGUUUUGGCGGAGCCAUCCUUGGGAUACCACCCUUGUAGUACUGGGACUCUAACCAUAGGCCAUGAAUCUGGUCUUGGGACACUGUCAGGUGGGCAGUUUGACUGGGGCGGUCGCCUCCCAAAAGGUAACGGAGGCGCUCAAAGGUUCUCUCAGUACGGUCGGAAAUCGUACGUAGAGUGUAAAGGCAAAAGAGAGCUUGAUUGCAAGACAUACAGGUCGAGCAAGGAUGAAAAUCGGACUUAGUGAUCCGGUGGUUCUGCGUGGAAGGGCCAUCGCUCAACGGAUAAAAGCUACCCUGGGGAUAACAGGCUUAUCUCCCCCAAGAGUCCACAUCGACGGGGAGGUUUGGCACCUCGAUGUCGGCUCAUCACAUCCUGGGGCUGUAGUAGGUCCCAAGGGUUGGGCUGUUCGCCCAUUAAAGUGGUACGCGAGCUGGGUUCAGAACGUCGUGAGACAGUUCGGUCCCUAUCCGUCGCAGGCGUAGGAAAUUUGAGAAGACCUGUCCUUAGUACGAGAGGACCGGGAUGGACGUACCUCUGGUGUACCAGUUGUCCUGCCAAGGGCAUGGCUGGGUAGCUAUGUACGGAAUGGAUAAGCGCUGAAAGCAUCUAAGCGCGAAGCCAACUUCAAGAUAAGAUUUCCCACCGCAAGGGUAAGACCCCAGAAAGACUAUCUGGUUGAUAGGUCGAAGGUGUAAGUGCAGCAAUGUAUUUAGCUUAUCGAUACUAAUAGGUCGAGGACUUGACCAA
rnacentral:rRNA from 1 species